rnacentral:rRNA from 1 species
GACGAACGCUGGCGGCGUGCUUAACACAUGCAAAUCGAACGAAGUGGCGAACGGGUGAGUAACGCGUAAUCAACCUGCCCUUCAGCGGGGGACAACAGGAGGAAACGACUGCUAAUACCGCAUACUGAAGGUGGGGAUUGCGUCGGAUUAGCUAGUUGGAGGGGUAACGGCCAACCAAGGCGAUGAUCAGUAGCCGGUCUGGGAGGAUGAACGGCCACAUUGGGACUGGGAAACGGGCCAGACUCCUACGGGGAGCAGCAGUUGGGAAACUUCCGCAAUGGACGAAAGUCUGACGGGGCAACGCCGCGUGGGUGAUGACGGCUUUCGGGUUGUAAAGCUCUGUUAAUCGGGACGCGGUACCGGAAUAGAAAGCCACGGCUAACUACGUGCCAGCCGCCGCGGUAAUUC